rnacentral:rRNA from 1 species
GACAGAGGGUGCAAACGUUGUUCGGAAUUACUGGGCGUAAAGCGCGUGUAGGCGGCUCUGCAAGUCGGAUGUGAAAUCCCACGGUUCAACCAUGGAAGUGCAUUCGAAACUGCAGGGCUAGAGUCCUGGAGAGGAAGGUGGAAUGCUUGGUGUAGAGGUGAAAUUCGUAGAUAUCAAGCGGAACACCGGUGGCGAAGGCGGCCUUCUGGACAGUGACUGACGCUGAGACGGCGAAAGCGUGGGGAGCAAACAGGG